rfam:Plasmodiophora brassicae isolate e3 genome assembly, contig: scaffold_11
UUCGGUAUAGUUCAGGGGUCAGAAUACGGCGCUUUCACCGCCGAGACCCGGGUUCGAUUCCCGGUACCGAAA